UCCUCAGUGGCUCAGUGGGAAAGAAUCUGCCUGUAAUGCAGGCGAUGCAGGAGACCCAGGUUCAAUUCCUGGGUCGGGAA
rnacentral:tRNA from 1 species